AGUGAACGCUGGCGGUAGGCCUAACACAUGCAAGUCGAACGGCAGCACAGGAGAGCUUGCUCUCUGGGUGGCGAGUGGCGGACGGGUGAGGAAUACAUCGGAAUCUACCUUUUUCGUGGGGGAUAACGUAGGGAAACUUACGCUAAUACCGCAUACGACCUACGGGUGAAAGUGGGGACCGCAAGGCCUCACGCGAUUAGAUGAGCCGAUGUCCGAUUAGCUAGUUGGCGGGGUAAUGGCCCACCAAGGCGACGAUCGGUAGCUGGUCUGAGAGGAUGAUCAGCCACACUGGAACUGAGACACGGUCCAGACUCCUACGGGAGGCAGCAGUGGGGAAUAUUGGACAAUGGGCGCAAGCCUGAUCCAGCCAUACCGCGUGGGUGAAGAAGGCCUCGGUUGUAAG
rnacentral:rRNA from 1 species